rnacentral:RNase_P_RNA from 1 species
GACGUAUUUGAGUGAUCGCUGGUUCGCUUCGGUGAAUCAGAGGAAAGUCCGAGCAGUACGGAAAACCCAGCCGCUAACAGCGUGCCGCUCCUACAGCAAUGUAAGAGAAGGGAAAGUGCCACAGAGACAAUACUAGCCUCCCCGGAGGUGAAAGGUGAAAAGUCCCAUUCAGUGGGAACUCCAUAGAUAUACUUAUGGAUGUGGGAAAACCCUGGGUGCUGCAAGGUAAGGUGGCGGCUUCAUUUGCCCCCAAUUGCAAAUCAAGUCUCUUACCGCUAGAGCUCUGGCUAUAAAUCAGAGCCUAGAUAGAUGAUCACACUCCGCUUGCGGAGUACAGAACUCGGCUUAUGAUAAUACGUCUCUG